rnacentral:rRNA from 1 species
AACGAACGCUGGCGGCAUGCCUAACACAUGCAAGUCGAACGAGACCUUCGGGUCUAGUGGCGCACGGGUGCGUAACGCGUGGGAACCUGCCCUUAGGUUCGGAAUAACUCCCCGAAAGGGGUGCUAAUACCGGAUAAUGUCUUCGGACCACAGAUUUAUCGCCUUUGGAUGGGCACGCGUUGGAUUAGCUAGUUGGUAGGGUAAAAGCCUACCAAGGCGACGAUCCAUAGCUGGUCUGAGAGGAUGAUCAGCCACACUGGGACUGAGACACGGCCCAGACUCCUACGGGAGGCAGCAGUGGGGAAUAUUGGACAAUGGGCGAAAGCCUGAUCCAGCAAUGCCGCGUGAGUGAUGAAGGCCUUAGGGUUGUAAAGCUCUUUUACCCGGGAUGAUAAUGACAGUACCGGGAGAAUAAGCUCCGGCUAACUCCGUG